GAUGAACGCUGGCGGCGUGCCUAAUACAUGCAAGUCGAGCGAAUGGAUUAAGAGCUUGCUCUUAUGAAGUUAGCGGCGGACGGGUGAGUAACACGUGGGUAACCUGCCCAUAAGACUGGGAUAACUCCGGGAAACCGGGGCUAAUACCGGAUAACAUUUUGAACCGCAUGGUUCGAAAUUGAAAGGCGGCUUCGGCUGUCACUUAUGGAUGGACCCGCGUCGCAUUAGCUAGGUGGUGAGGUAACGGCCCACCAAGGCAACGAUGCGUAGCCGACCUGGGAGGGUGAGCGGCCACACUGGGACUGAGGCACGGCCCAGACUCCUACGUGAGGCAGCAGUAGGGAAUCUUCCGCAAUGGACGAAAGUCUGACGGAGCAACGCCGCGGGAGUGAUGAAGGCUUUCGGGUCGUAAAACUCUGUUGUUAGGGAAGAACAAGUGCUAGUUGAAUAAGCUGGCACCUUGACGGUACCUAACCAGAAAGCCACGGCUAACUACGUGCCAGCCGCCGCAGUAA
rnacentral:rRNA from 1 species